CCUACGGGGGGCAGCAGUGAGGAAUAUUGGUCAAUGGUCGGGAGACUGAACCAGCCAAGCCGCGUGAGGGAUGAAGGUACAGAGUAUCGUAAACCUCUUUUGUCAGGGAACAAAGGCGGGGACGCGUCCCCGGAUGAGUGUACCUGAAGAAAAAGCAUCGGCUAACUCCGUGCCAGCCGCCGCGGUAAUACGGAGGAUGCUAACUUUAGCCCGAUUUAUUUGGUUUAAAGGGUGCGCUGGCGGUCUGUUAAGUCGGCGGGAAAAGCCCGGGGCUCAACCCCGGCCCGCCGUUGAAACUGGCAGUCUCGAGUUGGAGAGAAGUAUGCGGAAUGCGCGGUGUAGCGGUGAAAUGCAUAGAUAUCGCGCAGAACUCCGAUUGCGAAGGCAGCAUGCCGGCUCCACACUGACGCUGAGGCACGAAAGCGUGGGUAUCGAACAGGAUUAGAUACCCUAGUAGUC
rnacentral:rRNA from 1 species